rnacentral:lncRNA from 1 species
GAGAGACGUAAGGUCGGCGGAGAAUGCGCGGGUCGAGUGCUGUAGUUCGAUUUUUGCGUGUGUGCGUUGCUUGCGGCCUUUGUGCCUUUUUAUUCUUUGCUUACCUUUAUGAUAUAAAGACCUUAUUUCUUACAAGGAGGAAAAGACCGCUGACUUCAGAAACAGCGGGAACCCCAGCUCGUCCCCGGUAAUUCAAGAGGAAACGCUUGAGCAAUUACUGAUGUUGUAAACUGGGAUCAGAAGACAUACAUGGUAUCGUAUCCCAGGCAAGGCACAGUGGCUCACACCUGUAAUCCCAGCACUUUGGGAGGCUGAAGAAGGCAGAUCACUUGAGGUCAGGAGUUCGAGACCAGCCUGGCUUACAUGGUGAAACCCAUCUCUACUGAACAUACAAAAAUUAGCUGGACAUGAUGAAGUGGACAACAUCACUUCUUUCCACAUUUCAUUGACCAGAGCAAGUCAUGUGACCAAGCCUGAUUCAAAAUAGGCUGGAGCAAGGAGGAGCAGCAAACAUAACAUUCCCAGUUUACAGCUGAGGAAAUUAAGCUUCAAGUUGCCCAAGUUUAUAGAAUGAGUCAAUGGCAGAGGUUGAACUCAGAUGACAAAAUUGGGGUCUGGACGUGUGCAAGGACUUUUCCAAAGUCAGCUGGAAAGGAGCUGCUUAGCUGAGAGGUUCUGGCUCCAGAGUCUCCUGUGAAGUUGCAGUCAAGAUGUCUGCUGGGACCCCAGUCAUUUGAAGCCCUGUCUGGGGCAGGAGAAUCUAGGUCCAAAAUGGCCGUUGCAGGAGUCCUUAUCCACACCAUGUGGGACCUCUUCAUAGAUGUUCGAGUGUCCUCAUGGCAUGGCCACUGGCUUUCCCCAAAGUAAGCAGUCCAAAAGAGGACAAUCAACAAAACUGAAAAAGCCCAGCCUUGUAGCAUUUGCCAGUUAUUGUGUAAAUGUCCCCACUAUGGUGGAUUUCAGGUUACCACUAUGAUAUCACAGAAUGCAGAAUUGGAAGGAGAUUCACAGCAGCACCCCAUUAUACUAUAUUUUCACCAUACAGAUGCAGUCGAUGUAAAUUACCUGAGGAGCAUAAAUAAUAAUAAAAUGAAGUUAAAUAAUUCGGAAAUGAUUUUGAAAAUUGUGUUGGUUUUUAAUGUAAGUUUAUAUGUCAGCUUUAAUAAAAUCUGUCUUUAACAAC